AACUCGGUUUACUGUGGAAAGACCUCGUCAAAAUAAAAAAGCAAUAAAUACUAGAAAUCCAAAUCCAGUAAAAUAGAAUCUUGCAAUUUGAAGAGAAGCAACAAUCAAUGCGUCCAUAAUUUCCUAUAUUCCCUGAUUGGUGUGAUUACUGUCAACAAAAACAGCUGGAAUUGGAUUCUCCAACAUAACAUCGACUUAGAAAGAAUCUUUGGAGCAUUUUUCACUCAUGGCUAUGAUUAUGGAUGCUGUUCUUGGAAAACUGCUUGAUGAGCUGCUGAAAGAAGUUGUGAAUGUGAAAGACAGGGCUGUGAAGUUCAGAGCCACCCUGAUAACCUUAGAGUCAACCCUAAAUAAAGUAGGAAGGUUGGCUAAACAGAUUGAUGGUCUUAACAAUCAAUUGAACAAACCAGCCGAGGAAAUGAAAGAGCUGAAAGAUAAGUUGGCGAAAGGGAAGAAACUCGUUAUGGAGUGCUCCGAAAUCCAGUGGUGGAAUUGCUGCUAUAAGGCCAACUACCAAGAGGAACUCGAGGCGUUGUACGAGUCGAUCCGUUUGUACUUCAAUCUGGAUAUGCAAGGUCUGAUACUAACUAAUGAGUUACAAAACCAGGUGAUUCUGACCGAGAUUCAUGCAACAGUUAUGGAAAGUGGUCCGAGAAGGACCGAAUUGAAAGGCGUGUGUUCGCCUCCGGCCCCUCCGGCUUUCACGGUUGGCUUGGAUGUUCAUUUGAGGGAGAUGAAGGUCAAGUUGCUGAAUAACCACCACCAUGCUGGAUCUGUGCUCACGGUCACCGGAACACCAGGCUCAGGGAAGUCAACGUUGGUUAAAAAGUUUUGUUGUGAUGAGGAAGUCAAAGGUAUAUUCAAGGAAAACAUAUUCUUCAUCACCUUUGCGCAAAAGCCCAAGUUAAAUACCAUAGUGCAGAGACUGUUUCAACACAAUGCUUGCCAGGUGCCAGAGUUUCAAAGUGACGAUGAUGCAGUUUAUCAAUUGGAAAAUUUGCUGAAACAGAUUGGGAAAAACCCAAUACUGUUGGUCCUGGAUGAUGUUCCGUCCGAAUCAGUGUCUCUUGUUGACAAAUUUGUGUUCCAGAUCCCAAAGUACAAGAUUCUAGUGACCUCAAGAAUCACAAUUAGAGGAUUUGACCAGCCAUACGUGUUGAAAUCACUCAACGAAGUCGAUGCUAUAAAUUUAUUUCGCCACUCUGCAUCCCUGAAUCAGAGUAGCUCUGACAUUCCUGAGAAUAUUGUCAAAAAGAUUGCGAGAGGGUGCAGUGGUUCUCCCUUGGCACUUAUAGUGACUGGCAAAUCACUAAGUCGUGAACCACCGUGGGCUUGGAACAACAGGGCUAAGAAACUGUCCAAGGGUCAACCAAUUCUUGCUUUUAGUGCAGAUGUGCUUACUUGUCUCCAAAAAAGCUUCGAUGACUUGGAUCCUAAGGUGGCUGAGUGUUUUAGGGACCUAAGCUUAUUCCCCGAAGCCCAGAGGAUACCUGCUGCUGCCCUUGUUGAUAUAUGGGCAGAACUGCGUGAUGAAGAUGAUGACAGCGCAAUGGAGAAUAUCUAUGAACUCGUCAAAAGGAACAUGGCUGAUAUUGUUGUCACAAGGAAUAUUUCAAGUGGCACGAUUGACUAUAAUUACCACUAUGUUACACAACAUGGUCUUCUUCGGGACCUAGCUAUCCUUCAAACGAACAAGGAACUAAUGAAGAAGAGGAAUAGACUGAUUAUUGACGUAAGUGGUAACAAUCUUCCCGAUUGGUGGACUACACAGAAUGAGUAUCACAUUGCAGCCCACUCACUAUCCAUAUCAACUGAUGACACAUUCACUUCAGAAUGGUGCAACUUGCAGGCAUCUGAGGUUGAGGUUCUAGUGCUGAACCUUCGAGAAAAGAAGCGGUCGCUACCAAUGUUCAUGGAGAAAAUGAAUAAACUAAAAGUCCUGAUAGUAACGAAUUAUGAGUUCUAUCGCGCUGACUUGGAAAAUUUUGAGCUGCUUGAUAAUCUGUCUAGUCUCAAAAGAAUCAGAUUAGAGAAGGUUUCAAUUCCCUUCUUGAGCAACACUGGAGUGCAACUGAAGAAUCUACACAAGUUCUCCUUUUUCAUGUGCAAUGUGAAUGAAGCAUUCAAAAAUAGCACCAUUCAAGUUUCAAAAGUGUUCCCAAAUUUGGAGGAGAUGAACAUUGACUACUGUGAUAUGGUGGAAUUGCCAAUUGGGCUCUCUGAUAUUGUUUCCCUAAAGAAGCUAAGUAUCACAAACUGUCACAAACUUUCUGCACUUCCUGAAGGAAUUGGGAAGUUGGUCAAUCUGGAAUCACUAAGGCUUACUUCAUGUACUAAAUUAGAAGAGUUACCAGAAUCAAUCACAAGUCUUAGUAAACUGAACUUCCUUGACAUCUCUGACUGCGUAAGCCUUAGUAAGUUACCAGAGAACAUGGGAGAGUUGCGUAGUUUAGAAAAUCUCAAUUGCAGAGGUUGCACAAGAUUGACUGAUUUGCCAUACUCAAUCACGGAGCUUGAGAGCUUAAGCGCUGUGGUGUGUGAUGAAGAGACUGCUGCAUUAUGGGAACCUUUCAAAACCAUGCUUAGAGAUCUAAAGCUUAAGGUGGCCCAAGUUGAUUUCAAUUUGAAUUGGCUUUCAUAGUUUUCUUUGUUGCACUUGCGUUUGGCGACACAAUGAGAGGAUGAAAACAGGGAAGGCAUGGAGUUGCAGCGGAAGAUAAAUGAGAAGAGGAGAGAGGAUGCACCAUCUACAAAAGAAUAAGCCAUGGAAGGAGAAACUUCACCAUCAAGAGAGUGCCUUGGAUAAAAAGCUUAGAGACGAAGCUCCAAUGGAGGGAAAGAAUGAGAAAGAGAGAGAGGGGGUGAGGGGGGCACGAAAUUGAAGGAGAAAAAGAGGA